rnacentral:lncRNA from 13 species
GGCGGGCAGAUCACCUGAGGUUAGGAGUUCAAGACCAGCUUGGCCAACAUAAUGAAACCCUGUUUCUACUAAAAAUACAAAAAAAAUUAGUCGGGCAUGGUGGUAGGCACCUGUAAUCCCAGCUACACGGGAGGCUGAGGUAGGAAAAUCGCUUGAACCCAGGAGGCAGAGGUUGCCGUGAGCCGAGAUCGGACCACUGCACACUCCAUCUUGGGCAACAGACCCAGACUCCAUCUCAAAAAAGAAAGAAGAAAAGGAAAAAGUGAGGCAAAAUUAAUAUUCAGACAGGCUUGAGUGACAACUUGAGGACAAGGUGGAGCUUUGCCAAGAUUUCUCGCAGCAGCUGCGGGGAGCCAAAGAAGAACCCCCUCAUGGUGCAGCAGGAGGAAGACCUGCGCAAGGAACACUUGCUUGAAGCUUCAGAGCUGUUGAAAUCCCAGGCCAAAGAACUCAAAGAUGCCCAUCGGCAGCAAAAGCUGGCCCUGUGGGACUUCUUGGAGCUCAAUGAGCAUGGCAGUGCUCUGCUCCCAGAAGCAGGUGUGGGACAAAGAGGAGGAGAUGGAGGAAGCCAUGUAGAAAGUCAACACGAUGUGGUAGGAGAACUGAAGAUCCAAGAAGCUCAGAAAGAGGAAACUGUUUAGCCAGGUAUGGUGGCUCAUGCCUGUAAUCCCAGCACUUUGGGAGGCCAAGGCAGGUGGAUAUCCUGAGGUCUGGAGUUCGAGACCAGCCUGGCCAAUAUGGUGAAACCCUGCCUCUACUAAAAAUAGAAAAAUUAGCCAGGCACGGUGAUGGGUGCCUGUAAUCCCAGCUACUUGGGAGGCUGAGGCAGGAGAAUCACUUGAACCUGGGAGGUGGAGGUUGCAGUGAGCUGAGAUGCCAAUGCACUCCAGCCUGGGCAACAAGAGAGAAACUUCAUCUCAAAAAAAAAGAAACAAGAGUACACUUCUUAGCUGUUUCAGCAAUAGUACUGACUGGACUUUUGUAUGACCUUAAUAAAACAUCUUUGAAAACUUGGGCUGCA